AUUCCGGUUGAUCCUGCCGGAGGCUAUUGCUAUUGGAAUCCGAUUUAGCCAUGCUAGUCGCACGGGUUAGACCCGUGGCGAACAGCUCAGUAACACGUGGCUCAAACUACUCCUGUGAACGGGUAUAAUCUCGGGAAACUGAGGCUAAUCCUCGAUAGGGCUUCCAUCCUGGAGUGGAGGAAGUCCAAAAGUCGCUCUGCGGCAUCACAGGAUGUGGCUGCGGCCGAUUAGGUAGACGGUGGGGUAACGGCCCACCGUGCCAGUAAUCGGUACGGGUGAUGAGAGUCAGAGCCCGGAGACGGUAUCUGAGACAAGAUACCGGGCCCUACGGGGCGCAGCAGGCGCGAAACCUUUACACUGCACGACAGUGCGAU
rnacentral:rRNA from 1 species